rnacentral:lncRNA from 1 species
UCCCCUGGGGUGUUCUGGAAGAAAUCUACAUGUCUGUCCUAGCCCUGGGGAGCAGACAGGGCAGUGUUUGCACUAGAAUGAGGCAGAGCUUCCUUGCACUCAUUUCCUGGAAGGCAAGUGUGGAAACAAGGAGCGACUGAGUCACAGACUCCGAGCUGCUUCUAGAUUCCUCUCCAGAUAGAGCUCUUGGCCCUGCAACGCACCUGCCCUUCAGCCAGUCAUUUGGCACCUGUCACGUGUGUGGCCUUUGUCCAGGGGUCAGGUGCCCUGUCCCAAGGACAGCACACACGCAGCUCGAAGGCUGCAUCCACCCAGCAGAGAAACAUCUGGGGACCACGUCCCAGCGUCUUGUUCUCCUCACCUCACAAAGCCCCAAACUUCCCCUCACAAACUCUCCCCACAAACCCCAUCACUACCCCGUUCCCAUGCCAACUCCCUUGACUCUUUCAGAGAGUUCUCCAGUCCCAGCCUCCCCACUCCCCACUCCCCAAGCCUGGGGCUAGCCAAAGGCCAAACGAAAAAAAAAGGGAAACCAAAGCAAACAAAAGAAUUCCCCUGACCCCCCAAUAAACACACACACAAAGAGCAGGCUUGUGGGAAGAGGAAGCUCCCACCAGCGUCGACCCCGCGGGGGGGCCAGGGCUCCCCUCAUUGUUCUCCCUCCCCAGGCUGUGAUGACAAUCCCAGCCCCGCACAGGUUGCAGCCCCCCUGCCCGGCAGCCAGCACCCCUCCUCUUUUCCCACCUUGGGCCCCCUGAGAAAGACGCCUUGAAGCAGAUGUCAUGGGCCCAAGAGUGGUUCCCACAGGAGGAGGAAUUGGAGUGGAAGUUUUCGAGAGACAGAGCCUCACCCUGCUCACGCCUUCGGGGGCUACGGCAGGACACAGGGAAGAUGGUGGCCUGCCCUCACAGAGCCCACAGGAAGCCCCUGAUUUAUAGUGACAGGACCAUCAGGAUUCGAGGGCGUGAGUAUCUUCUGUCCAGGAUGGACGCGAGGGGUCCUGGGAAGCCCUACACACAGCUUGCUGCUCUGGAGCUCAAGGACACACUCUUGCGAAUUCCUUCGUGUGAUUCUUACAAUGGCACUCAUAAAAGGAGUGCAAAAUUGUCCCCAUUUUGCAGCUUGGCUGGGGAAAUGCUGAUGCUGGGCCUUGGCAGCCAGAGGGACCAGGGCUGGGAUCCUGGCUCAGCCACUUAGCAAUGUAUGACUUAGGGCAAAGUUGACCUCUAUGAGCCGCAAUUGUCUGAGAUAUAAAAUGGGGAUAUUAAUACCUGCUGGAAAACUUUUGUGGUGGUUGAUGAGAUAGAGGAUGUGAGCAUGAAGCACAGGUAUAUAGAUAUGGCAGCCCCUCCCAUCCUCCUUCCUUCUUCAAAGAUGGCACAUGGCUGGUUCAGGAUCUCGGAGAGCAAGACUGGGCCUUAGACUCAGGAGCACAUUGUCUCCGUCCAUCCUCUGCCUGUCUCUAGAAAUCUCAUUGCUCGCCUGUCCCACCUCGAGGCUGCCUCUUAUCAGACCCUCCGAAGUCUGGACUAAGAUGAAAUUAGAGUGACCAGCAUGUUUUCUCUCCUACUUUCUACUUCCAGUGGCCCCCAAACUGGCAGAAUCCCAGAUGGGAAGUAAGAAGGUGGAGACAGGGUAACCUGGGCCCUUCUCAGAACCCAAGGUGGGCUGAGGGUCCUCCAACCUCACAGAGCUUCACUUCUCCAGGGAUCUGCCAAACAGCAGCUCAGAGGCCAGGAAUGGCCCUGCUUCUCCCCCUCUCUCUGCCCAUGUAUGUCACCCCUCAUGAAUUCACUCAGGCAUUUACUCAUCGCUUACUGAUCCCCUACCUGGAUAAGCAACAAGGCCCUAGCACAUGGCAGAGAACAAGCCCCACACCCUCCCUUUUCUCCCAGAGUUGACAGUCCAUGCCCCGACCCCCUAUCCCCCAUGUAGGAGGAACUGAGUAAGUGAGAUGAAAAAGGCGAAGAACAGCAAGAAGGGCUGAGUUCCCACAAGCUGCCCUGGGUGAACCCAGUAGCCCUGCAUAGCAUUCCUAAAGCGCUUCUCCAAUCCUGGACUCAGAAUCAGAAAGCAACUGAGACAAGAUCUAGACCCAACUCCCACCCAAGGCAGGGCCCCUCUCCUGCCAGGAGAAGAUAGGAGAGAACUUGUCCAUGGCAUGCCCCAGGAGUCAUUGAAACCCAGAAGAGAAAGCCAUGACUUUCCCUUGGCAAAUCCAUUUCCCAUGUUUGGAGCAGGGGUAUGACAAAGAUUCUCCCCUCAACCAACUUUAGACUGGCUUCUCUGAGCCCUCUUUUGACCAGGCCUCAUCUUUGGACUUCUGUGUCUAUCCUUUCAGAGUCCAGUUUUAGCAAGAGUCCUGCUAAGUCGCUUCAGAGAGAAUCCUCCACCCUCGGUAUCCAGUUACUACCAAUAUCUGAUUGGGUUCCUCAUCCUCCACCCUCGCCCAGGUGAUGCCUGAUCGCCCUGGCCUGCUGUCUGCAAGAAUACUCUUGGGUCAUUUUAGCCAGAAUCUGCAUACCUUUAGUGUCUCCUCUUAGUAAUUUCCAUCCACUGACCACCCCCCUCCCUGCUCCUGGCUAUAAAUUCUCACUCAUCCUUGUCGUAUUCAGAGUUGAGCCCCAUCUCUCUCCCCUAUCGCGACAGUCUUGACACCUAUCAGCAUAGUCCCGAAUAAAGUCCUCCCUACUGUUUUAACA